rnacentral:rRNA from 1 species
AUGGAGCCGUCGCAGAGAAGCGAGGGCGCCAGCAUCAAGAAGCCCAGGACCCCGCCGGCGCCGCCCGGGGCCUACACCGGCGCCGAGCUCCUCGGGGAAAUACUCCGUCGCCUCCCCGACAUGGCGUCACUCGCCAGCGCCGCCCUCGUCUGCAAGCGCUGGGGCCGCAUCGCUUCCGACCCCGCCGUCUUCCGCCGCUUCAGCUCCCUCCGCAGGCCCCCGCUCGUCGGCGUCAUCCUCACCGACCUUGGCCGCGAGCGCUUCCCCCUCCACAACCCUGCUCUCCGCUUCAUUGCGGCACACUCGCGUCACCCCGAGCAGGACCUCGCCGCAGCAUUCGGCGAUUUCUACUUCCAACGCCACCCCGAGAUUAAAGCUGCCGACGAGUGGCGCCUCCGUGGCUGCGACGGUGGCCUCCUCCUCCUCUCCUGCGGCCGCUAUGCGUCGAAGCUCGCCGUCUACGACCCUCUCGAGUGUACUGCCAUCUUCUUCCAGCCACCCGAGCGCUGGCACACCGGCCGGUACGCCAUCGUCGCCGACGAGGCCGACGCCUCCUUCCAGGUCAUCGGCAUAGAUCUCUGGGUCGAAGAAACCUUUGCCGUCUUCUCCUCCCGCACCGGCAAAUGGGUCGUGCUUGACUCAUCGUUUCCAUACUGGGGAUUCGCGUGGCCUCGCAGCGACGAGAAGAUAUAUGUGCUUGACACGAAAACCAUGGUGUGGUCGGUUAUAACCGCGCCGUUCCCGGUUGGCGAGUCGUACUGCGUGGCGGACAUGGCGGAGCACGGCGGGCUGUGCAUCGUGUCCAGCAGGGAGCAAAGCGUGCUGCUCUGGGUCCGUGAUAUCAAUGGUGGAUGGGUGGUCAAGAAGGAGGUCUCCUUGCUGAAUCAGUUUGGGUACUUAAAGAGAAUUCGUCGUGACGAAUGGAUGAAGAGGCUGCGCAUCCUCGCAAUGAAGGCUGGCUAUGUCUACAUGGAGUUUUGGUCCAUAAGGAAGUCUGAAUCCUAUAUUCUUGUGCUCAAUCUGAACACCGUCAAGCUGCAACAAUUCUUUCGCAACAUUACGGCUAAGCGCUACAGGGGUGCUGCUUUUCCAUUCUUCUUGAGGUUUCACCACUGCUUGCCACAUAUGAUGAUAAGGAAGUUCAAGAUGCUUGAUAGCAUGGAGUAGGUCAGGUGCUACAUGUAACUUUGAUUAGAAGUUACUCCCUCCGAUCCAAAAUAAGUGUCGCAGUUUUGAACUAAGGUUGGUUCAACCUUAGUUCAAAACUGCGACACUUAUUAUGGAAUGGUGGGAGUACUUAAUAUGGAGCAUUGAAAUGGAGUUGCAGCAGCUGAUUGGUACAUGUUCUCCGUUUGGCGGUAUGAGUUUCAACAUUGGAAUGGAGAUGUAUCUGCUCUAUUUUGUGGAAAUAGCUUCAAUGUAAUCUGAAUUUACUCAUUUUCAGUUAUGAGACCUGUUUAAUGCUAAAUCAAUGAUACUUUAACUGAGAUGGUUAAGUUUAAUAUCAGUCAUGUGCUCGU